AUUCCCUUUCUGUUGAUUUUGAUUAUCAAUUUUAGCCGGUUAUGUUGGCUGAGAAGGUUCUCCAUGGCAAUCAAUUCUUCACGAUUCCCUUGCAAUUGGAUGAUUGUGUCUGAUCCUCCCUUUCUCACACUUUUGGACAGUAGAAGGUUCAUGUGCUGUCUUUAUUGAAGAUAUGUGACCGGCGUAUUGGAUGUCAAGGAUGUGUCCAGGAACUUUCCUAGCCGGUUAUUGUGGUCAUAUUAGAUCUACAUAGUUUAGCAGAUAAGUUGCUCUCAUUG